AUUUUGGUAGCUUAAUCAAUAGAGCAUUAUAUUGAAGAUAUAAAGGAAAUUUAAUUUCAAAAUA
rnacentral:tRNA from 1 species